AUUGAACGCUGGCGGCAGGCCUAACACAUGCCAGUCGAACGGUAACAGGAAGCAGCUUGCUGCUUUGCUGACGAGUGGCGGACGGGUGAGUAAUGUCUGGGAAACUGCCCGAUGGAGGGGGAUAACUACUGGAAACGGUAGCUAAUACCGCAUAACGUCGCAAGACCAAAGAGGGGGACCUUAGGGCCUCUUGCCAUCGGAUGUGCCCAGAUGGGAUUAGCUAGUAGGUGGGGUAACGGCCCACCUAGGCGACGAUCCCUAGCUGGUCUGAGAGGAUGACCAGCCACACUGGAACUGAGACACGGUCCAGACUCCUACGGGAGGCAGCAGUGGGGAAUAUUGCACAAUGGGCGCAAGCCUGAUGCAGCCAUGCCGCGUGUAUGAAGAAGGCCUUCGGGUUGUAAAGUACUUUCAGCGGGGAGGAAGGGAGUAAAGUUAAUACCUUUGCUCAUUGACGUUACCCGCAGAAGAAGCACCGGCUAACUCCGUG
rnacentral:rRNA from 1 species